UGUGUGUGUGCGCGUGUGCGUGUGUGCAUAGUUACCACCUUAAAAAUAAAACACCCGAACAGCAUACUUGAAGAAUGUAAUACUCCAACUCUCAGUGCUUCCUUAUGGUUUCUAAUAGGAUUUUUUAUUAUUGUUAUUAUUAUUAUUGGGUUUUUUUGGAAGGGGGUUGGGAGGGUCUUUUAUUUUUCCUUUGAAAUAAAGAAGUGAUGUUUUUAAAUGGAGACGUGUGGCUAUUUAAAUGUGCUGCUCCCUCUUGUCCUGACACAGCGUGAGGAGGGGACUCGCUGGGGACAAGGCACUGUCUUGACAUGCAUCCUCAACGCCCCGCUGUGGCGGCUGCUUCGUGGGGUCCUGCCAACCCCUCUCCACCCCUCCCCGGCUCAGCGAGGUGGGGAGUCCAGGUGCGCAGGGGCAGGGAGGCCACGUCCCCAGAGCGCGUGCUACAGCGGGGACAGUUUGGCCCCAAGAAAUAUUCACCCAGUGACCUUGAGCUGGGGCUGUCAGUUAGGAAAAAUGGAGAGUCACAGCGAUUCCUUGUGUUUCCUUAAUUUAUUGUCACACCCCCGAUGGCCGAAACCAAAGUGAUGUGCGUCCUCUGUCUGCUCCUCGCCCGGCUCCCUGCAUUUCAAAGCUUUAUUCUGCCCGCCUCAGAGGACCUGCUGAAGGGGAUUCCACACAGCAGCAAGGGACCCACGUCUCGGUGUCCCCGUCGCCGGCUUCCUAUUCAUCGAGACUGACGUCUUCACGAACUGUGCUCAGUGGACUUUUGGAGACAGUCACCCUGGUGGGACCUGGACUCGGAGCUCGCCUGGAGAGCCUGGUUCGUCUUCGCGCAGUGUGGGUCCCCAAUGCCAUUCCCUCUCGUCCUCCGUCUGUGCGCCCACGUGCUGCACAGGGCCUGGGCCACACCCUGGAGAGAGAGCAGAGCCCGCUUUGCCUGUCCCCACGCCAGGAGCUGCUUCUGGAACCAUAUCAGCGUUGCCCUGUGUGCGGGAAAGGAUGACAUGGGGGACCGCUCUGGCCUUCUUUGACUGUGGCCAGGCGGCCUGCCCGGUCAGCUGGCUGUCUCCAGGACCCCUUGAUAUGAUAACUCAGGUACCAGUCGCACCCCAUCCCCAGAUGAUUGUAGUGCGCCUCCGUCACCAUGAGCCCCCAGCGCAGGGACCACAGGGGUGAUUUUUCUUUUUUAAGAAAUAGAAACCAUCAGAACCAAUUCACAUUCAUGCCAAAAACAAAUCGUCCCCAAGCCUAGACCCUUAACAUGUCACCUUUGCCUGAAACACUGCAGCGACUUGAGCAGGAGUGCCAAAGGACACCACGACCUUGACAGACUGCUGUAGCUUCAUUGCUCAGAGAAGAGAGCCUUACAGAGUUAAUUAAAAAGAAACAUUCAGAAAUGCCCUCGCAGAAACCCAGGAGUUUUUCAGACAAACUUGGAGUCUCCGGCUGCUUAGUGGCUCCAGAGAUCUGCACUGUGACGCGCCGGUUGACGUUGUUCCCAUUUGCCUUUGGGACAGUUCCCAUCGAGGGAAGGUCUUCACCUCUGGAAGGCCCAGAGCUGCCCCGGACAGGCCCACUCCCCUUCCACCACAGUUCAGGGUAGGUGCGAUUGUGCCUUCCUGUCCCCUGUGUCCUGACCGCUCACCAAGUCCUCCCGCCACCCUGUGCAUCCCGCGCGCCCGGCAGCCACCCAUCUGUUGGUGCCCGCCUGUGCUCCAUGUUGACCACCCCUGUUGCCUUCGAGUUUCCUCUCCGGGUGGCUGUUCCUAGGUCCCCUUGAUGUCCCAAGCCUUUCUAGAACCUCACCCUUAAGUGUUCUCUAUAGGACUCGAUCUCACUUCAGUGACUCCGCG
rnacentral:lncRNA from 1 species